rnacentral:rRNA from 1 species
GACGAACGCUGGCGGCGUGCUUAACACAUGCAAGUCGAACGGAGUGGCGAACGGGUGAGUAACACGUGUGUGACCCGCCCUGCACUUCGGGAUAAGCCUGGGAAACUGGGUCUAAUACCGGAUAGUGUGGGAUGGGCCCGCGGCCUAUCGGCUUGUUGGUGGGGUGAUGGCCUACCAAGGUGGCGACGGGUAGCCGGCCUGCGAGGGUGGACGGCCACAUUGGGACUGAGACACGGCCCGGAGGCCUACGGGAGGCAGCAGUGGGGAAUAGUGCACGAUGGGCGGAAGGAGGAUGCAGGGACGCCGCGGGGGGGAUGACGGCCAUCGGGUUGUAAACUCCUUUCAGCAUCGACGCGGUAGAGGGAGAAGAAGCACCGGCUAACUACGUGCCAGCAGCCGCGGUAAUUC